AUUGAACGCUGGCGGCAUGCCUUACACAUGCAAGUCGAACGGUAACAGGUUAAGCUGACGAGUGGCGAACGGGUGAGUAAUACAUCGGAACGUGCCCAGACGUGGGGGAUAGCUCGGCGAAAGCCGGAUUAAUACCGCAUAAGCUCUGAGGAGGAAAGCGGGGGACCGUAAGGCCUCGCGCGCUUGGAGCGGCCGAUGGCAGAUUAGGUAGCUGGUGGGGUAAAGGCUUACCAAGCCUACGAUCUGUAGCUGGUCUGAGAGGCCGACCAGCCACACUGGGACUGAGACACGGCCCAGACUCCUACGGGAGGCAGCAGUGGGGAAUUUUGGACAAUGGGCGCAAGCCUGAUCCAGCAAUGCCGCAUGCAGGAUGAAGGCCUUCGGGUUGUAAACUGCUUUUGUACGGAACGAAAAGGCGCCUACUAAUACUGGGUGUUGAUGACGGUACCGUAAGAAUAAGCACCGGCUAACUACGUGCCAGCCGCCGCUGUAA
rnacentral:rRNA from 1 species